rnacentral:rRNA from 1 species
GUUGGGUUAAGUCCCGCAACGAGCGCAACCCUUGUCUUCUGUUGCCAUCAGGUUAAGCUGGGCACUCUGAAGAGACUGCCGGUGACAAACCGGAGGAAGGUGGGGAUGACGUCAAGUCAGCAUGGCCUUUAUGUCUGGGGCCACACACGUGCUACAAUGGCAGGUACAAACCGUCGCGAGACCGCAAGGUGGAGCUAAUCGGAUAAAGCCUGUCUCAGUUCGGAUUGUCGGCUGCAACUCGCCGGCAUGAAGUUGGAAUCGCUAGUAAUCGCGGAUCAGCACGCCGCGGUGAAUACGUUCCCGGGCCUUGUACACACCGCCCGUCACAUCACGAAAGCUGGCUGUACUAGAAGUAGCAGCGCUAACCCGCAAGGGAGGCAUGUUCCUAAGGUAUGGUCAGUGAUUGGGGUGAAGUCGUAACAA